GAUGAACGCUGGCGGUAUGCCUAACACAUGCAAGUCGUACGAGAGUUUUUAACUCUAGUGGCGGACGGGUGAGUAACACAUGAGAAUUUGCCUUUAGGAGGGGGAUAACAAUUGGAAACGAAUGCUAAUACCCCAUAUGCUUUUGAGUGAAAUGGAUUUUAUCCGCCUAGAGAGAAGCUCGCGGCUGAUUAGCUUGUUGGUAAGGUAAGAGCUUACCAAGGCGACGAUCAGUAUCUGGUUUGAGAGGACGAUCAGACACACUGGAACUGAGACACGGUCCAGACUCCUACGGGAGGCAGCAGUGGGGAAUUUUCCGCAAUGGGCGAAAGCCUGACGGAGCAAUACCGCGUGAGGGAAGAAUGCCUAUGGGUUGUAAACCUCUUUUUUCAGGGUAGGAAUAAAAUGACGUGUACCUGAAGAAUAAGCAUCGGCUAACUCCGUG
rnacentral:rRNA from 1 species